rnacentral:rRNA from 1 species
GCCCAGACUCCUACGGGAGGCAGCAGUGAGGAAUAUUGGUCAAUGGGCGUAAGCCUGAACCAGCCAAGUCGCGUGAGGGACGACGGCCCUACGGGUUGUAAAUCUCUUUUGCCGGGGGACAAACGGCGGCACGCGUGCCGUCCUGAGGGUACCCGGAGAAAAAGCAUCGGCUAACUCCGUGCCAGCAGCCGCGGUAAUACGGAGGAUCCGAGCGUUAUCCGGAUUUAUUGGGUUUAAAGGGAGCGUAGAUGGGUUGUUAAGUCAGUUGUGAAAGUUUGCGGCUCAACCGUAAAAUUGCAAUUGAUACUGGCAGCCUUGAGUACAGUUGAGGUAGGCGGAAUUCGUGGUGUAGCGGUGAAAUGCUUAGAUAUCACGAAGAACUCCGAUUGCGAAGGCAGCCUACUAAACUGCCACUGACAUUGAUGCUCGAAAGUGUGGGUAUCAAACAGGAUUAGAUACCCCAGUA